rnacentral:rRNA from 1 species
GAUGAACGCUAGCGACAGGCUUAACACAUGCAAGUCGAACGGGAAACAUUUUAAUGAAGCUUCGGCAGAUUUAACUUGUUUCUAGUGGCGGACGGGUGAGUAACGCGUGGGUAACCUGCCUCACACUGGGGGAUAACAGUCAGAAAUGACUGCUAAUACCGCAUAAGCGCACGGAACCGCAUGGUUUUGUGUGAAAAACUCCGGUGGUGUGAGAUGGACCCGCGUUGGAUUAGCCAGUUGGCAGGGUAACGGCCUACCAAAGCGACGAUCCAUAGCCGGCCUGAGAGGGUGAACGGCCACAUUGGGACUGAGACACGGCCCAG